rnacentral:rRNA from 1 species
GUCUACAGCCAUACCACCCUGAACGUGCCCGAUCUCGUCUGAUAUUGGAAGCUAAGCAGGGUCGGGCCUUGUUAGUACUUGGAUGGGAGAUCAUGCUAGUUCAGGCA